GCAAGUCGAACGAGAAAGCUUCCUUCGGGAAUGAGUAAAGUGGCGCACGGGUGAGUUAACGCGUUAGGUAAUCUACCCCUAUAUUCGGGAUAACAUCGGGAAACCGGUGCUAAUACCGGCUACGCUCUUUUCAAUGCGAAUUAGAAAGAGGAAAGGUGACCUCUCGACGAAGUUGCCGUAUGGGGAUGAGCCUGCGUACCAUUAGCUAGUUGGUGGGGUAACGGCCUACCAAGGCGACGAUGGUUAGCGGGUCUGAGAGGAUGAUCCGCCACACUGGAACUGGAACACGGACCAGACUCCUACGGGAGGCAGCAGUGAGGAAUUUUGCGCAAUGGGGGCAACCCUGACGCAGCGACGCCGCGUGAGUGAUGAAGGCCUUAGGGUCGUAAAACUCUGUCAGCAGGGAAGAAAUGUCAUGUGGUUAAUACCCAUGUGGUUUGACGGUACCUGCAAAUNAAGCACCGGCUAACUCCGUGCCAGCAGCCGC
rnacentral:rRNA from 1 species